rnacentral:rRNA from 1 species
GAUGAACGCUGGCGGCGUGCCUAAUACAUGCAAGUCGAGCGAACAGACGAGGAGCUUGCUCCUCUGACGUUAGCGGCGGACGGGUGAGUAACACGUGGAUAACCAACCUAUAAGACUGGGAUAACUUCGGGAAACCGGAGCUAAUACCGGAUAAUAUAUUGAACCGCAAGGUUCAAUAGUGAAAGGCGGUUUUGCUGUCACUUAUUGAUGGAUCCGCGCCGCAUUAGCUAGUUGGUAAGGUAACGGCUUACCAAGGCAACGAUGCGUAGCCGAACUGAGAGGGUGAUCGGCCACACUGGAACUGAGACACGGUCCAGACUCCUACGGGAGGCAGCAGUAGGGAAUCUUCCGCAAUGGGCGAAAGCCUGACGGAGCAACGCCGCGUGAGUGAUGAAGGUCUUCGGAUCGUAAAACUCUGUUAUUAGGGAAGAACAAAUGUGUAAGUAACUAUGCACGUCUUGACGGUACCUAAUCAGAAAGCCACGGCUAACUACGUG